rnacentral:rRNA from 1 species
CAUGUAGGUGGCCUCUUAAGUCGAUUGUGAAAUCCCUUGGCUUAACCGUAGUAAGCUUUUGAAACUGUAUGGCUUGAGUGCAGGAGAGGAAAGCGGAAUUCCUAGUGUAGCGGUGAAAUGCGUAGAUAUUAGGAAGAACACCAGUAGCGAAGGCGGCUUUCUGGACUGAAACUGACGCUGAGGUACGAAAGCGUGGGGAGCGAACAGGAUUAGAUACCCUGGUAGUCC